rnacentral:rRNA from 1 species
GACGAACGCUGGCGGCGUGCCUAAUACAUGCAAGUCGAACGCAGUGGGGACGGGUGAGUAAAACGUGGGUAACCUCCCAUCAGAGGGGAUAACACGUGGAAACAGGUGCUAAACCGAUACUGAUGGAUGGACCCGCGGUGCAUUAGCUAGUUGGUGAGGUAACGGCGAACCAAGGCCACGAUGCAUAGCCGGCCUGAGAGGGGGAUAGGCCACACUGGGACUGAGACACGGCCCAGACUCCUACGGGAGGCAGCAGUAGGGAAUCUUGGGCAAUGGACGAAAGUCUGACCGAGAAACGCCGCGUGAGUGAAGAAGGUUUUCGGAUCGUAAAAUUCUGUUGUUAGAGAAGCGUUAUCUAACCAGAAAGCCACGGCUAACUACGUGCCAGCAGCCGCGGUAAUUC